UAAUGACUUCAAGAAAUUAUGCAGGUAUAUAUGGUGGAACUUUAUCAAGACACACUUGUAGACCUUCUCUUACCAAAAAGUGCAAGACGCUUGAAACUAGAGAUUAAAAAAGAUUCAAAGGGUAUGGUCUUUGUAGAGAAUGUGACAACUAUACCUAUAUCAACUUUGGAGGAACUGCGGAUG